GACGUAGGAGGCGAGCGUUGUCCGGAUUCAUUGGGCGUAAAGAGCACGCAGGCGGUUUGGCAAGUCGGAUGUGAAAGCCCGGAGCUCAACUCCGGACCUGCAUCCGAAACUGCCCGACUAGAGGUAGGUAGGGGAGAUCGGAAUUCCUGGUGUAGCGGUGAAAUGCGCAGAUAUCAGGAGGAACACCGGUGGCGAAGGCGGGUCUCUGGGCCGAUACUGACGCUGAGGAGCGAAAGCGUGGGGAGCGAACAGG
rnacentral:rRNA from 1 species